CCCGAUUCACAUCUCCAAUCCCGUCGCCGACACUCACCCCCACCCCCACCGGCGGCCGUCUCCCCCAAUCCCAUCACCACAGCGACCUCCCUCCCUCACUCCCUAGCUCUCCCUCCCGCAGGUCCGUCCGACCCAUGGGCGGAUGAGGUCCGAAACCCUAUCCCUUCACCCACCCACCAAUGGAUGGAUGGGGAAGGGCGACGAUGGUGCGAUGGCAGAGACGUCCAUGGCGAACGCGAGCCGGCAUCCGACCAUCUCCGGCGAGCCCGACCACAGCGACCACGGAUCUCCGACCAUGGUUGCUCCGAUGCUGCUGCUGCUCCCUCCUUUGCUCUGCGUCCUCCUCCUAGCUGCUGCUCCCUCCUCUGCUCUGCCUCCUCCUAGCUGCUGCUCCCUCCUCUGCUCUGCCUACUCCUCCUAGCUACUGCUCAUGGAAGCAGCGGCAAGGCUCGUUUGGUACAGCAGCAGAACGAGGAGCUGCAUCUUCAAGGUCAGCAGCCGCAGCUGCUACAUGGAUGCAAGUAAAACUUGAUAUUUCUAGUCACUUUAAAUGCCACCAUAUAAAUUACUACUCCCUCUGUGAACUAAUAUAAGAGCGUUUAGAGUUCUACUUUAGUGAAUCUAAAAAAUCUUACAACACUCAUGAUUUUGCAUACUCUUAAGGUCCUCUCUCUCUCUCUCUGAUCUGCUCCGUUCUCUAACACUCGUCGGGAUUCAUAGUGAGACCCUGUUCAGCUCCAUUAGUUAAUUAUGAUUAAUUUAGUGUUUUGCCAAGUAUUUGUGCUGACAGUAGUGACAAUCUGCGCUAGAAAAUCAUCAUGCUGUGAAUUUAGGCUCUCUGCCUAAGCUUCCUACUUUCAACGCUGUAACAACAUCUUGCUGCAUUAGUGCAUUGACUAAACUUUCUUGCUGGCCUGCCAUUGUUUCCCUUAAAUUAGAAUGAACAUGCACAUGCCUCUGUUUAGCCUGGUCUUGUUGCCUAUCCCUGUCUUGUGGAAGAUCCAAGCUCUCAUUAUUUUGCCGAGUGUUUGUUUUGUUCUUCCUUGCCUCAUUUGCUUCUCGGCGGUAGUCAUGUGGUGUUUGUUGUUUGGUGGAGCCGCCUCAUUUGUUCUGUUUGAAACAAUCAACGCACAAUUGUUUAGCUAUGUAGUUCAGGAUGGUGUGUUCUUUAUUGCAGUAUGACUGGUAUGAUCUCGAGUACAUAAUUGCCAUGUCUUUUUACAAUUGGGGAAUAUGUUGUCAUGUUGAAUAAUUUAUCUGCUUGACUGUACCGUGUGUAGCCCUACUCAGCAAAGAUUAGUUCUGUUUGACUGUACCGUGAAUGAACAUGUCUUGUUCUACUUCAAGAAUUUAUUAACUGAAGAGAACCAACUCCAACAAGUGAUUAGUACAUGUUAAUUAUUAUUAGCUUCAAAAUCUGAUCGAUGCCUUCUUGCAAUAACAAUAAGCAUGAGAAUUUUUUGGUAGUUUCUAUGCCACUUUUCUACUCUGAUAUUUUCUUGUGUGCUAUACCAGAAUUUAUAAUUUCCUGAUCAAUGCACAAGGACGAUAUCUGGAGCGGUCAACAGGAUGAGCUGAUUUUUGAAAAAAAGUUUGAAGAGGUGCCCAGUUUGUGCUCGCUACCGAAGGAGCUCCAUGUUCAAGAAGAUUGAAGGCACAUGUAGAGCUUGUAUAUUCUCUAGUUAUUACACAUAGAGCUUGUAAAACCGUGAUUGAAAAUUUAUUAUGUGUUAUUUAUAGAGUAGCAACUCCAUACUGAUUUUGGUUGCUAUUAUUCGAAGUACUACUUGUAUUUUUUUGUCUGGCCAAUAUAAAUAUUGGUUAUUUAUUUACUAUGAAAUUGAAAUCCGAAGAAUAUGACAUUGACAAUUAGGACUCACUUACUAAAACCUGACAACUGGGACCAAUUAUCAGAACUUACAGUUGGGACCCAUCUGACUAAUUGACCCAUCGUAAAAAAAAGAAAAUGUAAUAAUAAAAAAAUCUGGAAUUGUUGAGCCCAAAAGGCCAUGGCCCAAAAAUAAAAAGGCCGAAUUGUAGGGUUUGGCC